CACGUAGGGGGCAAGCGUUGUCCGGAUUUAUUGGGCGUAAAGAGCGUGUAGGCGGCUUGGUAGGUCUGCUGUGAAAACUCGAGGCUCAACCUCGAGACGUCGGCGGAAACCAUCUGGCUAGAGUCCGGAAGAGGCGAGUGGAAUUCCCGUGUAGCGGUGAAAUGCGCAGAUAUCGGAGGAACACCUACUGGCGAAGGCAGCUCGCUGGACGGUACUGACGCUGAGGCGACGAAGACGUGGGGAGCAAACAGG
rnacentral:rRNA from 1 species